GACGAACGCUGGCGGCGUGCUUAACACAUGCAAGUCGAACGGAAAGGCCCUGCUUUUGUGGGGUGCUCGAGUGGCGAACGGGUGAGUAACACGUGAGUAACCUGCCCUUGACUUUGGGAUAACUUCAGGAAACUGGGGCUAAUACCGGAUAGGAGCUCCUGCUGCAUGGUGGGGGUUGGAAAGUUUCGGCGGUUGGGGAUGGACUCGCGGCUUAUCAGCUUGUUGGUGGGGUAGUGGCUUACCAAGGCUUUGACGGGUAGCCGGCCUGAGAGGGUGACCGGCCACAUUGGGACUGAGAUACGGCCCAGACUGCUACGGGAGGCAGCAGUGGGGAAUAUUGCACAAUGGGCGGAAGCCUGAUGCAGCAACGCCGCAUGCGGGAUGACGGCCUUCGGGUUGUAAACCGCUUUCGCCUGUGACGAAGCGUGAGUGACGGUAAUGGGUAAAGAAGCACCGGCUAACUACGUG
rnacentral:rRNA from 1 species